GGAGAGGAAAGUGGAAUUCCUGGUGUAGCGGUGAAAUGCGUAGAUAUCAGGAGGAACACCGGUGGCGAAGGCGGCUUUCUGGUCCGAUACUGACGCUGAGGCGCGAAAGCGUGGGGAGCAAACAGGAUUAGAUACCCUGGUAGUCCACGCCGUAAACGAUGAACACUAGGUG
rnacentral:rRNA from 1 species